UACGUAGGGUGCGAGCGUUGCCCGGAUUUAUUGGGCGUAAAGGGCGCGUAGGCGGCUCGGCACGUCCGUUGUGAAAUCGCCCGGCUCAACUGGGCGGGGUCAGCGGAUACGGUCGAGCUUGAGCAAGCUAGGGGGCAAUGGAAUUCCCGGUGUAGUGGUGGAAUGCGUAGAUAUCGGGAGGAACACCAGUGGCGAAGGCGGUUGCCUGGAGCUUUGCUGACGCUGAGGCGCGAAAGCGUGGGGAGCAAACAGG
rnacentral:rRNA from 1 species